UACAACUCUCUUAACUGAAUUUUCCCACCUAAAAAACAAUUAUAAGGACUAAACUACCCUCCCAAGCCUCAUAAUCAUCGUCUCCUUAAAAACAUGGUUUACAGUUUUACAUACAUAUUGGUAACUAUGUUGCACAUAUACAUACAUAACUAAACAAGUUUUGGCAGUAUUACGCCUACAAUCUCUUGGUUGACUUGCCCCAACGAUUCAUGUAUGAAGCUUUAAUUAGAAAACAAAAAAUUUGAAGCACUAAUCAAAGAACUACAACUACAGAUUAAGGACUAAAUCAGUUAUUUAAAAAAAAACAAAAUCAAGAACCAUGUUAAGUUAACAUGGUUAUUUUUAUAGAUCAGACCAUACCUCUUCAUGAUUCCCCCGCUUGUUGUAAGCAACCAGAUUUCCGUUUAGUUUAGUGUAAAAGCCUCAAGUUGUGGUAUCAUACCUGCAUAUUCUACUAAAUCAAGCAUAAAUAUAAAUUAGAGACAAAAUAUGGUGGAAAAGGAAAAGAAAACAUAUAUUUGUAUAAUGACUUAAGUACCAUUCAACAAUGCACAAAUUAAUGAGCGAAUAAUCUAGAGAGAAAACAAUAUUUUAAAACACCUUAAGGAAGAGUACUUUAUGUUCAUCUAGGUUCUGGGUAUCCACAUUCAACAAAGCAAAGAAGGAUUCAUGAACCUUGAAAAAAGAUAAAAGUAAAUGUGACAGUCAAAUACCACAAACACUAAGGGGUUUACCUCAUCGUUGUUGGAGGCCCAAAGAUAAAAUAAUGGUAAGGGUUUAACCCUCGUUAUCUCUGACCAAUAUGUUCCAACCUAUUAAAUCAAAAAGAAAAAUCAUUGUGAAAUCAGAAGAAAAACAAAAACAAUAAAAUGCUUGAACAAAUGAGCCAACAGAAGUGGUUUCACCUCAGAUUAUGAGUAACUCAAUAUAAAAAAACGCAAAACUAAAAUGGAGAUGACUCCAUGCUUCUACAGUAGAGAUAGAGAGAAAUUCAAGUUUCUUUUUCAUAAACUUGAUUCGUCAAAAUCAAGAAAAUGUAGAAGGGAUAACCUAAAAUGGCUAUUAAAGAAUUAAAGUGUUAAUGUUCUUCUUUUUCAUUUUCCUGUUUAAUUAAGUAGCCAUCCAUCCUCUACGUACAACUCAUCACCUGCUUUAAGUAGCCAUCUAUCCUCUACAUACAACUCAUCACCUGCUUUAUUUCAUCAACAAUUAUGUUGACCUAAUAUUCAUUUGGAAGUGUGCUCUGGAAAUCUUAAAGCACUAUCCAAAUGUCACGACACACUAGAUUUAUGAAUAAUAUCCACUAUGGUAAAGGACUAACAAAGAAAGGAAACACCAUUGUCUAACUUAAAAGACAGACAAAAUACUGUGGAUAAAAAACACAAAAUAUCAUCUAUCAUCAUCAUACUCCUCUUUAUAAGAUCGAAAUUUAAAAUUAAAAAUAAAAUCAUAGUUCCCCUGUUUUAGGAUUAUUGAUUGGUGAGACGGAAACCAGGUCGUUCCAAAAAUCAAAACACACAUGUUCCAAAAAUCGUCUAACUUCAAAGACUAACAAAAAGAAUCAGAUUUGUCAAUCUAAAAGUAAUAAGCUUAAAUCUUGUAUGAUUGGGUCAACAAUUACACAGUUUACAAGCUAGACAUAUGAGUAAUUCCUGAAUUUUGUGGUACUUACCUCACAACAAGCAAUUGGGUGUAGCCGUUCUUUCUCCAGCUAUAUCUGAAAAUCGAAAUCCAACAAUUACAAAGUAAACAAUCUACUAUAAGGAACAAAGUUAAAAAAUGGAAGAAAUAAGAAAUCGAUUAAGCCAAUUUUUGUGUAAUCAUAUGAAAAAAGACAUUUUUUUCGUUUAGUUUUAUGUACAACCCUGAAAGACAAAGCAUUCUUUCAAACUUUUAGGGUUCACGAAUAGGGGAUGUGAAGAUGGCAUCAUGUAACAGGAGGACUUAUGGAGCAACGAGAAGUAGGUUAUCCACCUAUCUCCUCCUUCUCAGGGUGGGAGAGAUAACAUGAUCUUCAAUCCACCAAUUUCAAUUUCAAGGAUGACGAUCAUCUGUUAAAUGCACAAACAUAGUUAAAAAGAGGGUUAAUUUCGAACCAGAAUAUCAAAGGGUAAAAUAGUCACAUUUCAGUUUCAUGGACAAAUAUAAUGCAUGGAUGAGAAAAAGAUCCAUAUCGUAGAAAUCAAAAUCAAACUUGGGAAAAUAAAAUGUCAAGAACUAAAAUUUGUGAAAUCGGAAAACGAACCUGUUAUGUUGAUCAAGUGAGUGAAAGGAGAGGUGACGACGGUGAGGACCUUGCGCAUGUCACGUGAUGUCGUCGUUUUGGGUUUUUUAGAGGGACGGAGGUGGAGGAAGAGAAAAGUCGUUGGUGUGUGGUGGUGAGAUACAUGAUAUAGGGUUGGUUAC
rnacentral:lncRNA from 1 species